UACGAAGGGGGCAAGCGUUGUUCGGAAUUACUGGGCGUAAAGGGCGCGUAGGCGGGAUGGCAAGUCGGUCGUGAAAUCCCUCGGCUCAACCGAGGAACGUCGAUCGAUACUGCUGUUCUUGAGGAUUGCAGAGGAGACUGGAAUUCCCGGUGUAGCGGUGAAAUGCGUAGAGAUCGGAAAGAACACCAACGGCGAAAGCACUCUGCUGGGCCGACACUGACACUGAGAGACGAAAGCUAGGGGAGCGAAUGGG
rnacentral:rRNA from 1 species